rnacentral:rRNA from 1 species
GUACGGGAGGCAGCAGUAGGGAAUCUUCCGCAAUGGACGAAAGUCUGACGGAGCAACGCCGCGUGAGUGAUGAAGGCUUUCGGGUCGUAAAACUCUGUUGUCAGGGAAGAACAUCCGGGAUAACCUCCCGGUCUGACGGUACCUGAUCAGAAAGCCCCGGCUAACUACGUGCCAGCAGCCGCGGUAAUACGUAGGGGGCAAGCGUUGUCCGGAAUUAUUGGGCGUAAAGCGCGCGCAGGCGGUUUCUUAAGUCUGGUGUGAAAGCCCGCAGCUCAACUGCGGAGGGCCACUGGAAACUGGGAAGCUUGAGUGUAGGAGAGGAGAGCGGAAUUCCACGUGUAGCGGUGAAAUGCGUAGAUAUGUGGAGGAACACCCGUGGCGAAAGCGGCUCUCUGGCCUAUAACUGACGCUGAGGCGCGAAAGCGUGGGGAGCGAACAGGAUUAGAUACCCUGGUAGA